GGUUUAGAAUUUAAGAUUUAGGGUUUAGGGUUUAGAUGAAAGCGUUAGCGUCGUUAAAAUUAACGUUUUUAUUUUUUUGUAGCUAUUUUUUAUUUGAUUUAAUAUUUUUUAAUUAAUAAUCUAUGUAUCACUUUGAUUAGUUCUAAAGGGUGGGGUGAAUUUAAUGGUUCACCUCAGGGUAAACCUAAGUUCUGUUCAAUUCUAAACUCAAUUCCAAACCCCUAAACUCAAACCCUAUACCCUAAACCCUAAUCUUAGACCCUAAACCCAAAUUAUAUACCUUAAACCCAAAAAUAAACUAUAAACCUAAACCCAAGUCUUAGACCAUAAACCCAAACCGUAAAUCUUAACCCAAACCCUAUAGCAUCUAAGUUUGGGGUUUACCGUUUGGGUUUUAGGUCUAGGAUUUGGGUUUACGGUACCGUUUGGACUUAUGGUUAAGGUUUUGGGUUUAGGGUAUAUAAUUUGGGUUUAAGAUUUACGGUUUGGGUUUAGGGUCUAGGACUUGGGUUUAGGGUAUAAAGUUUAGGUUUAUAGUCUAGUUUUUGGGUUUAGGGUAUAUAAUUUGGGUUUAGGGUCUAGGAUUAGGGUUUCAGGUAUAGGUUUUGAGUUUAGGGGUUUGAAUUUGGGUUUAGAAUUUAGGGUAUAGGGAUUAGAAUUUAAGAUUUAGGGUUUAGGGUUUAGCUGAAAACGUUAGCGUUGUUAAAAUUAACGUUUUUAUUUUUUGUAGCUAUUUUUUAUUUAAUUUAAUAUUUUUUAAUUAAUAAUCCGUUUGGACUUAUGGUUAAGGUUUUGGGUUUAGGGUACAUAAUUUGGGUUUAAGAUUUACGGUUUGGGUUUAGGGUCUAGGACUUGGGUUUAGGGUAUAGAGUUUAAGUUUAUAGUCUAGUUUUUGGGUUUAGGGUAUAUAAUUUGGGUUUAGGGUCUAGGAUUAGGGUUUAGGGUAUAGGUUUUGGGUUUAGGGGUUUGGAUUUGGGUUUAGAAUUUAGGGUAUAGGGUUUAGAAUUUAAGAUUUAGGGUUUAGGGUUUAGAUGAAAGCGUUAGCGUCGUUAAAAUUAACGUUUUUAUUUUUUUGUAGCUAUUUUUUAUUUGAUUUAAUAUUUUUUAAUUAAUAAUCUAUGUAUCACUUUGAUUAGUUCUAAAGGGUGGGGUGAAUUUAAUGGUUCACCUCAGGGUAAACCUAAGUUCUGUUCAAUUCUAAACUCAAUUCCAAACCCCUAAACUCAAACCCUAUACCCUAAACCCUAAUCUUAGACCCUAAACCCAAAUUAUAUACCUUAAACCCAAAAAUAAACUAUAAACCUAAACCCAAGUCUUAGACCAUAAACCCAAACCGUAAAUCUUAACCCAAACCCUAUAGCAUCUAAGUUUGGGGUUUACCGUUUGGGUUUUAGGUCUAGGAUUUGGGUUUACGGUACCGUUUGGACUUAUGGUUAAGGUUUUGGGUUUAGGGUAUAUAAUUUGGGUUUAAGAUUUACGGUUUGGGUUUAGGGUCUAGGACUUGGGUUUAGGGUAUAAAGUUUAGGUUUAUAGUCUAGUUUUUGGGUUUAGGGUAUAUAAUUUGGGUUUAGGGUCUAGGAUUAGGGUUUCAGGUAUAGGUUUUGAGUUUAGGGGUUUGAAUUUGGGUUUAGAAUUUAGGGUAUAGGGAUUAGAAUUUAAGAUUUAGGGUUUAGGGUUUAGCUGAAAACGUUAGCGUUGUUAAAAUUAACGUUUUUAUUUUUUGUAGCUAUUUUUUAUUUAAUUUAAUAUUUUUUAAUUAAUAAUCUAUGUGUCACUUUCAUGGGUCCUAAAGGGUGGA
rnacentral:lncRNA from 1 species